GACGGAGGGUGCAAGCGUUGUUCGGAAUCACUGGGCGUAAAGCGCACGUAGGCGGACUCUUAAGUCGGUGGUGAAAUCCUGGAGCUCAACUCCAGAACUGCCUUCGAUACUGAGAGUCUCGAGUCCGGGAGAGGUGAGUGGAACUGCGAGUGUAGAGGUGAAAUUCGUAGAUAUUCGCAAGAACACCAGUGGCGAAGGCGGCUCACUGGCCCGGUACUGACGCUGAGGUGCGAAAGCGUGGGGAGCAAACAGG
rnacentral:rRNA from 1 species